rnacentral:lncRNA from 1 species
CAGCGGAAGAACAAAACCCUAGGUUUGUGCGGUUUGACCGGUGAAAAAGGCUAGGGUUCAUGGAAGAAGAAGAUUUAAUCGGUGGAAAUUCGAAAUAAUCGGAGGAAAAACUAUUUGAUCGGUGAAACGAGAGGUUUCACCGAUUGAAUCAAUGGAAGGGAAGGAUUCAGGGUUGUAAUCGGUAAAAUGGAUCGAAGAUGAGAUUUCAAUCGGGAGAAUGGUGACAAACCUGAGGGAAGAGGUUGUUCUGGUCUUGAUUUCGUGAAGAAAAUGAUGUGAGGAGGAUGUGCUCUGGUCGAAGAAGAAGCACGGUGGCAGACGCUCCUCGAGAGAGAUCUAGGGUUUGGAAAUAACGGAAUGAAAUUGAUGUAGGCAGCGAGAUACGGAUAUGUGGAGUCUGACGCAUGCCACGCAUAGGUUUCGUAGUGGAACGAGUGGCGUGAAUAGAUUAGUUUAUGUGGAGGAGAGACGUAGUGUAGGAGAGAAACAACACAAUGGUAAAGUGAGAAAUGAAAGAAUGAGGUAGGGUGCUCUUCUCUUCUCUCUUGUACUCUUCUCUCUCUUUCUUCCUUUUCUUUUUUCUCUUUUUCUACUUCUUCUCUUCUCACUAGUUCUCUUCUCACUCUUUCUUCCUCUUCUUUUAUCUCUUGUUCUCUCUUUCUCUCUCUUUCUCUUUGUCUUUCUUCUUCUCGUUUUCUCUCUUUUUUUCUCUCUUGUCUCUCUAUUCUUUCUUGUAAUUGCCUAUGUUCUCUCUCAAUUCUUCAUGUACUUCCCUCAUUCAAGAACUUCAUGAGUUUUUCUCUAAACUCUAUUUCCCUUUGAU